rnacentral:RNase_P_RNA from 2 species
CGAGUUGGCCAGACAGUUGCCGCGUACGCAAGUACGGGGAGGAAAGUCCGGGCUUCAAAGAGCAGGGUACCAGGUAACGCCUGGGCGGUGUGAACCGACGACAAGUGCAGCAGAGAGGAGACCGCCAUUUAUUGGCUUCGGCUAAAAAUGGUAAGGGUGAAAGGGUGCGGUAAGAGCGCACCGUGCGACUAGCAAUAGUUCGUAGCAAGGUAAACUCUACCCGAAGCAAGACCAAAUAGGGUCCCGUAUGGCGCUGCUCGCGUUGGGACCGGGUAGGUCGCUUGAGCCUGUGAGUGAUUGCAGGCCUAGAUGAAUAACUGUCCAAGACAAGACCCGGCUUAUCGGCCAACUCACCUC